rnacentral:rRNA from 1 species
GAUGAACGCUAGCGACAGGCUUAACACAUGCAAGUCGAGGGGCAGCAUAGAAGUAGCAAUACUUUGGUGGCGACCGGCGCACGGGUGAGUAACGCGUAUGCAACCUACCUAUCAGAGGGGAAUAACCCGGCGAAAGUCGGACUAAUACCGCAUAAAACAGGGGCACCGCAUGGUGAUACUUGUUAAAGAAAUUCGCUGAUAGAUGGGCAUGCGUUCCAUUAGGUAGUUGGUGAGGUAACGGCUCACCAAGCCGACGAUGGAUAGGGGAACUGAGAGGGUGGUACCCCACACUGGUACUGAGACACGGACCAGACUCCUACGGGAGGCAGCAGUGAGGAAUAUUGGUCAAUGGGCGGGAGCCUGAACCAGCCAAGUCGCGUGAAGGAAGAAGGAUCUAUGGUUCGUAAACUUCUUUUGCAGGGGAAUAAAGUGCAGGACGUGUCCUGUUUUGUAUGUACCCUGAGAAUAAGGAUCGGCUAACUCCGUGCCAGCCGCCGCCGUAAGAC